CCCUGGGGCUUCCGCUUCCGGUUCUGACGGACGCUUCGGCCGUAACGAUGAUCGGAGACAUCCUGCUGUUCGGGAAAAAGAAGGACACGCAGGGCUUUGGGGAGGAGUCCAGGGAGCCCAGCACAGGCUGUUCGGCUCUUGAAUCCCAGCGAUGAAACCAGGAACUCACUUUCCCGGGAUGCCGAGUCUCCAUUCCUCCAUUCCUGAUGACUUCAAGAAUGUUUUUGACCAGAAAACCGACAACCUUCCCAGAAAGUCCAAGCUCGUGGUGGGUGGAAAAGUGUUCGCCGAGGUGUGCAUGGUUUCCCAGCCACGUCCCUGUUUUCAAAGAUAGUUUCACUUUGGUCUCUGAAUUGAAAUGCUGUCUACUGAAAGGGUUUCAGGAGCGUUUAUGUAAGGGGCUGUGAUGAAAUUGCAUUCCCCAUAGAUAAAAGAAAAAUCAUUUCUAUCCAGAGAUCUGAGCAGAAGGAUUGGCUUGUUAGUUUAACACAGCCGUAUUUUUGGACAUUCAGUGUUACUUGCUGAGUCUGACAGCCUCUGGGCCCGGCCAGGGGCCCUGUUAACAAACUGCUUUCACAUCCCAACAGGGUCUGCUUGGCCACUCAGUGCAGCUGCGAUUAACCCUAAAGGCUUUAAGGAACGGGCCACCUGUAACAGAGACACCAGCCUUCCUGUAUAGACACUAAAUUGUUAGCAAGAGUGUUGAGCUAGUUCCUGGUGAAGUGUUUCCACAGAAGACAUGUGGAGCAGUUGUGGGGAUAUUAAGGGAAACUUUCCUCUGCCUUGACCCCUUUGUUAAAUAAAAUGACUUUGGGAGCCAUUCAUUGUACAGUUGCAGGAAUGAGAGUGAUUUUAUGAUGUGGUACAUUGGGACCAUGUUCUAAAACCUUGGGUUUCUGAGUCUGCUUUUUGAGUAGGUGAUUUUGAGGUUGAAAAACCAGGGGCCUUCAUCUAGGAAAUACAGCAUUUUCCAGAAGCUUCUUUGAAAGGGAAUCCUGGUUUUGUUGCCAAAAUGAAACGCCCGGGGUUGGCGCUGAAUCCCACAACUGUGUGAUUUGCUUGUUGAGUUUUUUGUUGUCUGGUUUUUUUGUUUGUUUGUUUAUACCAAUAAGAAUGAGCCUGAAUGUUGGUGGUUUUUGAAAUCCUGACUUGGAGGUAAACCUGGAGGAAGGAAAAAAAGUAAAUAUGCAGGCUUUUAGGACUGAGUAGCCUUGAAAAUAAACCUCAUUUCU
rnacentral:lncRNA from 1 species